rnacentral:lncRNA from 1 species
UAACUGAAUAAUUAUAAGUUUUCAUUGAAUAAACUAGAACACGUAGUUACAUGGCUCAGAUAGUUUUAAAGAGAAUCAUCUAUAAUUCCUAAUCUGAUGAGAUUAGUUACUCAUAAUAAUAAUUGAUAUAACAAAAGAGUUAAGAAAAUUAUACAUGAAUAACCGAUGAAAAGUACGACGGCGAAACCCUAGAAUUGUN